AGUGAACGCUGGCGGUAGGCCUAACACAUGCAAGUCGAACGGCAGCACAGUAAGAGCUUGCUCUUACGGGUGGCGAGUGGCGGACGGGUGAGGAAUAAAUCGGAAUCUACUUUUUCGUGGGGGAUAACGUAGGGAAACUUACGCUAAUACCGCAUACGACAUACGGGUGAAAGCAGGGGAUCUUCGUACCUUGCGCGAUUGAAUGAGCCGAUGUCGGAUUAGCUAGUUGGCGGGGUAAAGGCCCACCAAGGCGACGAUCCGUAGCUGGUCUGAGAGGAUGAUCAGCCACACUGGAACUGAGACACGGUCCAGACUCCUACGGGAGGCAGCAGUGGGGAAUAUUGGACAAUGGGCGCAAGCCUGAUCCAGCCAUACCGCGUGGGUGAAGAAGGCCUUCGGGUUGUAAAGCCCUUUUGUUGGGAAAGAAAAGCAGCAGGUUAAUACCCCGCUGUUCUGACGGUACCCAAAGAAUAAGCACCGGCUAACUUCGUG
rnacentral:rRNA from 1 species